GAAGGCGGCCAUGAGUCCGUUGCAGGCCCGCCACAGGGCAGGCGCCAUGGCUCGGAGAACGCGGCGCGGGGCGGUGAGUCCUGCCACGUGCGGGGCGGCCCCUAAGGUAAAAGCCAUGCUCCAAGUCCCCUUCUGACUUCUAGUCACUUCCGUGCUGCCAGCAGAGAGCAUGGGAUUCUUCCUGAGGAGCCUGAGUCUCAGCUUUGCCAGGUCCUUGCUGUGUGACCUUGGGCACCUGUGCUCCCUUAACAAAGAGGAAUAAAACCUCUUCAGACUACUCUCCUAUCGAUUCUCUCCUGGAACAUAUGACCACCAUCAAUUAUAGGCAAGAACAUGAACACGGGAGUCCCAAAGACUUGGGUUCAAAUGUCAGCCCCUUCACUCACUGGCUGUAGGUGUGAGGCCCUGGCUCCUGUGGGGCUACUGCAGAGGAGAAACUUCUGGAACAGAGAGCUCCUUGUCCAGGGAUGCUGCAUCUGGGUGAGCUGCUCCUUGGAUAUGGUGCAAGUGUGGCCAGGGUGUGGUGUGAAAGGAGCAGAAGUUUUCAGGACUGAAUCUGGAUGGACCACUGAC
rnacentral:antisense_RNA from 1 species